AUUGUCAUGAGUCGUAAUUUGAACCGUAUUGCAGCGACUUAAAAUAAUUGUGCUAAAAAGGUCUAGAACCCCGAUUA
rnacentral:ncRNA from 2 species